UCUUCAGUAGUAUAGUGGUCAGUAUUCCGGCUUGUCAUUCCAGCUCGCCGGCGACCGGGGUUCAAUUCCCCGCUGGAGAG